rnacentral:rRNA from 1 species
UACGAAGGGUGCAAGCGUUGUUCGGAAUCGCUGGGCGUAAAGAAUGCGUAGGCGGCUUAACAAGUCGGGAGUGAAAGCCCAGGGCUCAACCCUGGAACUGCUCUCGAAACUGUUUUGCUAGAGUCCCGGAGGGGUUAGCGGAAUUCCGAGUGUAGAGGUGAAAUUCGCAGAUAUUCGGAGGAACACCAGUGGCGAAGGCGGCUAACUGGACGGGAACUGACGCUGAGGCAUGAAAGUGUGGGGAUCAAACAGG